rnacentral:rRNA from 1 species
CCUACGGGUGGCAGCAGUGGGGAAUAUUGGACAAUGGGCGAAAGCCUGAUCCAGCCAUGCCGCGUGUGUGAAGAAGGCCUUCGGGUUGUAAAGCACUUUCAGUGGGGAAGAAAGCCUUGGGGCUAAUACCCUCGAGGAAGGACAUCACCCACAGAAGAAGCACCGGCUAACUCCGUGCCAGCAGCCGCGGUAAUACGGAGGGUGCGAGCGUUAAUCGGAAUUACUGGGCGUAAAGCGCGCGUAGGCGGUCUGAUAAGCCGGUUGUGAAAGCCCCGGGCCCAACCUGGGAACGGCAUCCGGAACUGUCAGGCUAGAGUGCAGGAGAGGAAGGUAGAAUUCCCGGUGUAGCGGUGAAAUGCGUAGAGAUCGGGAGGAAUACCAGUGGCGAAGGCGGCCUUCUGGACUGACACUGACGCUGAGGUGCGAAAGCGUGGGUAGCAAACAGGAUUAGAUACCCCAGUAGUC